GAUGAGCGCUGGCGGGGUGCCUAAUACAUGCAAGUCGAGCGAACAGAUGAGGAGCUUGCUCCUCUGACGUUAGCGGCGGACGGGUGAGUAACACGUGGAUAACCUACCUAUAAGACUGGGAUAACUUCGGGAAACCGGAGCUAAUACCGGAUAAUAUAUUGAACCGCAUGGUUCAAUAGUGAAAGACGGUUUUGCUGUCACUUAUAGAUGGAUCCGCGCCGCAUUAGCUAGUUGGUAAGGUAACGGCUUACCAAGGCAACGAUGCGUAGCCGACCUGAGAGGGUGAUCGGCCACACUGGAACUGAGACACGGUCCAGACUCCUACGGGAGGCAGCAGUAGGGAAUCUUCCGCAAUGGGCGAAAGCCUGACGGAGCAACGCCGCGUGAGUGAUGAAGGUCUUCGGAUCGUAAAACUCUGUUAUUAGGGAAGAACAAAUGUGUAAGUAACUAUGCACGUCUUGACGGUACCUAAUCAGAAAGCCACGGCUAACUACGUG
rnacentral:rRNA from 1 species